rnacentral:rRNA from 1 species
ACUUUACAAUGCUGGCAACAGCGAUAAGGGAACCUCGAGUGCCAGGUUACAAAUCUGGCUGUCGAGAUGCCUAAAAAGCAUUUCAUAGCAAGGGCCGGGCAAGACCGGUGCCAGCCGCCGCGGUAACACCGGCGGCUCGAGUGGUAACCGUUAUUAUUGGGUCUAAAGGGUCUGUAGCCGGCCGGAUAAGUCUCUUGGGAAAUCCAGCAGCUCAACUGUUGGGCUUUCAGGAGAUACUGUCUGGCUCGAGGCCGGGAGAGGUGAGAGGUACUUCAGGGGUAGGGGUGAAAUCUUGUAAUCCUUGAAGGACCACCAGUGGCGAAGGCGUCUCACCAGAACGGACCUGACGGCAAGGGACGAAAGCUAGGGGCACGAACCGGAUUAGAUACCCGGGUAGUCCUAGCCGUAAACGAUACUCGCUAGGUGUCGGCCACGGUGCGACCGUUGUCGGUGCCGUAGGGAAGCCGUGAAGCGAGC